GACGAACGCUGGCGGCGUGCCUAAUACAUGCAAGUAGAACGCUGAAGGAGGAGCUUGCUCUUCUGGAUGAGUUGCGAACGGGUGAGUAACGCGUAGGUAACCUGCCUGGUAGCGGGGGAUAACUAUUGGAAACGAUAGCUAAUACCGCAUAACAGUAGAUGUUGCAUGACAUUUGCUUAAAAGGUGCAAUUGCACCACUACCAGAUGGACCUGCGUUGUAUUAGCUAGUUGGUGGGGUAACGGCUCACCAAGGCGACGAUACAUAGCCGACCUGAGAGGGUGAUCGGCCACACUGGGACUGAGACACGGCCCAGACUCCUACGGGAGGCAGCAGUAGGGAAUCUUCGGCAAUGGACGGAAGUCUGACCGAGCAACGCCGCGUGAGUGAAGAAGGUUUUCGGAUCGUAAAGCUCUGUUGUAAGAGAAGAACGAGUGUAAGAGUGGAAAGUUCACGCUGGACG
rnacentral:rRNA from 1 species